rnacentral:ncRNA from 2 species
AAACGCAGCGCGGGAGAGAUCGUCAUGCCAGCAUGACGACGCCGACGGAGCAACCGCCCCGGAAACUCUCAGGCACAAGGACCGCGCUGCUGGA